CCUGGCUCCUUCGUCCACCGGGAGCCGCACGUGGCAGCCCCGUGUCCACUCGCGGUCGGGGCAGUGGAAUCUGCGGGGCCGGAGCUGGUAGAAGAUGCAGCGCUUGUGGAUGUCUUCCAGGAGUCUGCCCUUCUGAAUGACUGCAUUCAGGUCGGGAAUCAUUCAGGACAAGAUCAAAAGGCUUCAAAAGGACUUGGAGAGGAGAUGGUGGGACCUCCAGGACAACCCACUGUGGACAGGCUUACAUGGCUUCUUACCCUUCCUACUCCU